UGGACUAAUGAUGAGUACCAUGGGGUAUCUGAAUGGGAUCUUUGAUGAAACCCUUAUGUAACUCUGAGGUCCAU
ensembl:snoRNA